rnacentral:rRNA from 1 species
UCGGGAGUAAAGUUUUGUUUAAACCGAAAAAAUAUUGACUGACUUUAGAUUUUUCUUUGGAAUAUGUGUUUUUUUGGAGAGCCCUCUUUUAUAGUGAAUUUUGUUGGCGCAUGUAUGAUUGUUUAGUUUUUACUUUUUUGGUAAUGCUUUGUGUUUUAUACAUUUAAAACAGAUAUAUAUUUGGCUUAUGGAUUUAUUUUUCAUGUGUUACUAUUGUUAAUUUUCUUUGGAUUAAUUUUUAAUUUUUUUGUUGAG